AUCCGAUCAGUUUUCAAAAGCUCAAGUAAGUGGGAUUGCGGGAAGUACUCAGUCAGAGCUUUCGUCUCUUCUAUCAUGUCCCUUAAAUGGUCAGGUUAUCUUAGACGUCUAAAAUAACGUCGUGUGAUAUACCUUCCAGCCUUCCGGAGAAGGUGUACAACGACAACGCUGCGGACGAGCUGAGCACCAAUCUGGUGGAGGAAGUGGCCUUACUGAAAUCCCGGCCAAUUGCAUCGCUAGGAAACAAUCCCUGAGAUGAAAAGCGCUAACGCCAGGGACCGUGCUAAUCGUUCAGUUGCUUCAUUCACUUCCGUCCGAAUACGAGAAAGAUGACAGAUGCAGCAGUGGCAGAUACUGAAUGAUUUGCCCAACCGUAGUGAUAUCCCCCUGUGGAUCCAGAAGGAUUCUGUGAUGAGGCAUCGGUAGCACGGCAUCGCCAGGGUUUUUGCUUGCCCACAGACGUCUCGACAAGGAAUUCCCAUGAAACUAUUACGGGUCAAAAAUGUAUGGACCUUGUGGAUCGUGCUGUCCCAUGUGCUGUGGAGGCUUCUGUGGUGGCUGCUGCUGAGCAAUAAGGACAGGGGCUAAGCAUUCCAUCACAAGUCCUGUGACUCCUGCAGAAAGCUUAAAGCUAUCGUGUAGUCUUUACGAAUAAAAC